rnacentral:rRNA from 1 species
CGGAGGGUGCGAGCGUUGUCCGGAAUCAUUGGGCGUAAAGGGCGCGUAGGUGGCCCGGUCAGUCCGUGGUGAAAGCGCGGGGCUCAACCCCGCGUCGGCCAUGGAUACUGCUGGGCUGGAGCACUGUAGAGGCAGGCGGAAUUCCGGGUGUAGCGGUGGAAUGCGUAGAGAUCCGGAAGAACACCUGUGGCGAAGGCGGCCUGCUGGGCAGUUGCUGACACUGAGGCGCGACAGCGUGGGGAGCAAACAGGAUUAGAUACCCUGGUAGUCCACGCCGUAAACGAUGGGCACUAGGCGCUUGGGGGAGCGACCCCCCGAGGGCCGGCGCUAACGCAUUAAGUGCCCCGCCUGGGGAGUACGGCCGCAAGGCUG